AAUCCUAAUCAAAUCCUAAUAUAAUCCUAAAAAAAUCUUAAUAAAAUCCUAAAUCAAUCCUUACUAAAUAUUAAACUAAAUUUUAAUCCAAUCCUAAUCAAAUCUUAAUUAAACCUUAGAUAAAUCUUAAUUUAAUCCUAAUCAAAUUCUAAAUUCUAAUAAAAUCUUAAAUCCUAACUAAAUCUUAAUAAAAUUCUAAACCAAAUCAUAAUAAAAAUAUAAUAAAAUCUUAUUCAAAUCCUAAUCAAAUCCUAAAGAAAUUCUAAACAAAUCUUAAAAAAUUAUAGUCAAAUCCUAAACUCUAAUCAAACUUUAAAUCAAAUCUUAAAUAAAUCUUAAUUAA
rnacentral:lncRNA from 1 species